GAACAUCUGCCAUGGCCAGGUUCUGUGGAUGUGUAUGGAAGAUGAAAUAAACCCUGUUCUUCAACGCUGCCUUUAUCUGAAUUGCAGCAAUGGUGGCUUCUCUCAGUUUGAGUGCUGCAGAAGGUGAGUGUGUUUUGGCAUUGGUGGAUUUUAGUGUGGGGUUUGUUGUGGGUGUUUAGCAACUGUUUUCAUGCUCAUGUACUGUUCCUAGGGUCUGGUUCUGUGAUAAGCACAAAGGUUUGUCUUACAUUGUUAUGUGGAGAUGUGUGGCUGGCCUUAUCCCAAUUUCCCUAUGUGCAGCUGUAUGAAAUGGCUCUGUUCCACUUGCCUGUGCUGGGAUGGUGCCAGACAUAGUCAGAAGUUUUUCUUUUCUGUGUCAAGAUGACCUUAUCAAAUAGCCAGGAAGGGAAUUCUGUUCCAGGUCAGAUGCUCUGGUAGGAUGCUUAGGACAAAAGCUUUAGGAGAGGCUGAGAUCCACACUUCAUUUGUUAUUUCAUAGGGGUCUUGCUCUCUGAGAUUUCCUGGUGCCUAGACCCUGAUACACUCCACAUGAACAAGAUUGUGCCACUUCACCUGCCUGCUGAGGCUGGCCUGGGCAGAACCAGACCCAGCUGUUUUUAGCAAUCUCUGUGCUACUGACAGCUGGUACAAGGCUGUAGGGGAUUUAAUCUUUAGGAUGUUGCUCUAGUGAUAGCCCUUAAGGCUGAUGAUGGACCAAACAUCUUCCCUACCUGCACAAACCUGUGCCAGAUGCUGUCCUGUGUUCCAAGUGCCUUUAGACAGAGCUUGGACAUCUCAGCCCCCACUCCUCUCCCUGCCACGCAGGUGUGUGUACAGGCUCUCCUGAGACCAGGAAAGGGAAAAUGAGGCAAGAAGCAAAACCCGACUGUUCUAAAGGAAAUGAGGUGACUGUUUCCAGAAUGUGCUGUGUUUCAAGGUACUUGUAUUGUACCAUCCCUGGAAUUGCUCAAGACCAGGUUGGAUGGGGCUUGGAGCAACCUGGUCUAGUGGAAGGUGUCCCUGCCCAUGGCAAGGACGUUGAAACGGAAUGAUCUUUAAGGUCCUUUCCAACUAGAAACAUUCUGGGAUUCUGUGACCUUUUCCUGAGGAACUUAGGGAGAUUCCUUUAUUUGGCUUUCAGAAUGUGGUUCCUGUGUAUUUGGUUUUAUAAUAUACUUAUUCCUUCCUGGUAAAAAUUUAAUGAAAACAGAAAGCAGUCGUUUUCUCUGAAUAGUUGCUUGAACCCCUCGCUAGCAUGUAAGCUUGGCUCUAGUGCCUGCCCCAUUUGGUGUCACUGAAAUCCAUAGUCUCUCUCCUUUUUCAUUUUCAUCUUUCAAUUAAUUUUUUUUUUAAUUGGCUGUUUCCUGAGAUAGAAGAAUUGGCAAGACAAGCUGUUCUUGUGCUAAAAUUUAGGUUUUUGAUCCAUUGAUCCAGAGCUGUUGUCCAGGGGAGGACAAGCUGUGCUCAAUGGAAGGUGUUUCCUCCUUCCUUCCCCCAAAUGCUGCAGUCAUGAACAGCACAGGCAACACCCCCUGCACUUCUUCUGCCUAAAGCACCAGCUGGGUUUGACCUGUGUUCUUAGAACUGACUGACACCCAAAUCACACUGGUCCAUUUAAGACCACCUUUUUAACUGAUGGGGGAACUAAAUAAAAAUUAAAUGUUCUGUGCUGCUUGUGAGACAAUAAACUUCUAGCCUCUGUAUAUGAUUAUGGCUGGCUAAACCAUCAGCUCCUUGCUGCAGUACACCACCUUUCCUUUGGCUAGCUCUGCUCUUUUUGUUAGUAUUCCUUCUAAACCCAG
rnacentral:lncRNA from 1 species